CAGAAGUGAAAGAAAGUACCAGAAAGAGAAUAGGAGGUGGCUUCUACCUCCCAGAACCGGCAGUGACAGGAGCUGGGCCCUCACUUUGCCUUUCUGGAGGCUCUCACAGGGGAUAGAUGCACCUUCCCUGCCGUGGGCAAGGACUGGAACAGGCAGGCAGUAUCCUGAGG